UGUUCUUUUUCGGAUUUCAUGUUUGUUUGUGCUGAUAUUUAGAUUGGCGAUUAGGUUUUGCGUUCCCUCUUAACCUACCUUUUGUGUUUACGAUCGGAUUACUAUCUCUGUGUGGUGCGAUUUCUCUUAACCUUCCCAAUUAGGUAUUGCGGCGAGGAUAGAUUAUCCAGCGGAGGGUUUCCGUUCAACCUACUCUUGACGUUUCUGAUUUGUGUCGAUUGUUUGUUGUGAUUCUUCUACGGAUUGGAUUAUUUAGUUAUUUUCAACUAUUGAAGAUCCAAGGCUGUUAUGGUUACUUGACGGUCUUUUAUAUCGUGAUCCCUUCUCGGGGCUCACUUUCGUUUGUUUAUGUAGUGCAAUCGAUUUGGUAGCUCGUGAUCAUUCGGGCGAGAAGGUUAAGUUUUUGCCUCUUUGUCUGUUUGGAAUUCUUUCCAGUUCAUUCUCCGAGUUGAUAGUUAUCGACAGUUGAUGGAAGUGCUCAUGCUUUGAUUACUUUCCUCAUUGUUUUCCUCUUCUUUGCUCUUCUCUGGUGAGCAGCCUCAAGAUCACACAUGAAUGAGGAUAAAUUUCUUAUGCACAAUUCUCUGACUUGGUGUCUCCAUAAAUAAAUUGGAAUAGAUUGUUUGGUAUAUGGACACGGACUCAUCUCUGGCAAUGACAGUGUCUAUGGAGGGUUACCGUUAUACUCUUCAAUUUCCAUUGUUUUAGCAUUGGCUGGUUCUUAAUCAACCUUCCAUGGAAGCCAGUUCUGGUUUGGUGCUUGAUUAUAUUUUCUCCGUGUCAUCAGUUUCUUUUUUUACAUGGGUACUGUGUUUGGCCUCGACAUAUGACAGGAGAUGCAAAAUAAAUUUUUUACUGUGCUGAAGGUGGGCUAUCUUGGUCUGGUUGUUGGACAUGGACCAAUAUUUGGUGCUGGUGUUGAUCGAGUUUAUGAAGGGUGGCAGAGGGAGUAUAGUAUUUUUCUAUGUACUGUCGUUUAUCUUCUACCUGGACGAUUCCUUGGCUUAUUGCUAUGCUCUUCAAUUUCCUGAUGUCAGAUAUUUAGGUUCUUCAGUUUUCAAGAGAAGGAAGCUCUGGGCUUUCACAGUGUGACAAAGGGAGUAUAGUAUUUUUUCACUACCUCUUGUCUUCUACCUAGAAUUUCCCAUCCUUAUUGUUAUUCUCUUUGAUAUUCACUCUCUGAACAAUUGGGUGGGUUCUUCUUCUGGCUUCACUGGAGUCUGGGAGGCAGUUCUAGUUUGAUGCUUGGUUAACUGUUCUCUUGUAGCUGUUUAUUAUUUGAUGCUUGGUCAAUUUUUCUGGUUUGAUUCUUGGUUAACUUUUUUAUGUUUGAUCUGUUUGUUUAUUUACCUAUAUGUGAAUAUUGUUUCAGCCUUUGUUUCUGGUAGUUGGACGUGGACCAAUCUCUGGUGCCUGCAUUUAUGGUGUAUGAUGGGUGGCAUUUAGCCUCUCAUUUAUCUUCUAGCUGUGAUCUCUCUUAUCUUACUAUUAUGCUCUUCAGUUUCCAGAUGCCUGAUAUUUGGGUUGCUCUACCAGUUUCCAGAGGAAGGCCGUUCUUUGUUUUUCCUGAGGGAGUAUAGAUAGUAUGCUUUUCUAAUAAAUUUUAUCUUCUACCUCGACUUCCCGCUGCCUAGACUUACCCCGUGUUUAUCGUUGUACUCCUCAGUUUCCAGUGUGUGUUCGGUAGUCUUAAGCAACCUUCAUCCGAACGCAGUUUUCAACAGAAGGCAGUUCUUGCUGGUGCUUGAGUAUCUUUAGUUUUUUCUCUGUUUUUUGUUUUUCACAUAGAUGUGUAUAGCGUUCUUGGCCUCAUCCAUUGACAUGUGUCAGGACAAAAAAAUGAUUCCACACACAUCUCGGAUGCUGGCAAAGAUAGUGCUGGCAUUGGGAGCAACAUUAUUUUUCUAUGAUGUUUAUCUUCUGGCUGACCUCUCCACUGUGAACCGUUAUGCUCUUCAAUUUCCAGAUGUAUGUUACUUGUGUGGUUCUAUCAGUAAUCAAGGGAUGGUGAUUCUCAGGUUUCAUUGUGUGGCAGUGGAACUAAGUUUAGUAUCAUACUUCUUCUACUGCAUUUUAUCGUCUUCCUACAGAUACCUGUGCUUAUGGCUGUUCUCUUCAGUUUUCAUUGUCUAUUUGGGUGGGUGGUUCUUUAUCAACCUUCAGUGGAAGCUGGUCUGUAUUUGGUUAUCUUUGCUCUAUUUCAAUUGUUCUUCUGUUAUGUGAAUUGUGGAUAUUUUCUUCUUCACUCUUUGAUAGGAGAUACGAAAUAAGUUUUGAUUCUGUUAGACUUGGAGCUUAAGGUGGGGCUACCCACUAUCUUGGCCUGUUAUGGACCAAAAUGAGAUGAUGGCGUUGUAAUAUUUAUGGGGCUUGGCAGAGGGAGUAUCGUAUAUAUUUUGGGUUGUUCGGUCAGUUUUCAAGGGGUGCCGUUCUGUGUUUUUACAAUGGAGGGAGUAUACUUCAGUGUUUUGUCUGCUACAUUACAUAGGCCUUUCCAAUUAUUAUUGUUAUAAUAUUCACUUUGCAGUUUCUGUUUGUUGGCUAGUUCUUAAUCAACCUUCACCGAGCGAGUUUCGGUUUGAUGCUGGAUAAUCUUUUCUCUGGUUCAUCAGUAUUUUAUUUGUUACAUGGAUGUUGAUUUUAACUUCUGCGUAGACAUUCCUGGUGCUUACCGUUGUACUCUUCCAUUCCUAGUGUCUUACCAUUGGCUGGUUCUCAAUCAACAUUCUGUGGAAGCCAGUUCUGGUUUAGUGCUUGGUUACUUUUACUCCUUUUCAUCAGUUUUAUAUUGUUACAUGGAUAUUGGGUUUGGCCUCAACAUGUGACAGGAGAUGCAGAAUACAUUUUGAUUUUGUUGGAGGUGAAGCUGAAGGUGGGCUAUCUUGGUCUUGCUGAUGGACAUAGACCAAUAUUUGAUGCUGGCAUUGACCGAGCUUAUGAAGGGUGGUAGGAGUAUAUAGUAUUUUUAUACUGUCGUUUGUCUUCAUGCUGGGCAUUUCCUUUGCUUCUUGUUAUGCUCUUCAGUUUCCUGAUGUCAGAUAUUUGGGUUGUUCAGUUUCCAAGAGAAGGCAGUCUUGGCUUUUACAUUGUGACAGGGAGUAUAGUAUAGUAUUUUUUCACUACCUCUUAUCUUCCACCUAGACCUUCCUGUCCUUAUUGUUGUUCUCUUUGGUAUCCAGUCUCUGACCAUUAGGUGGUGGAUUCUUCAUCAGGUUUCACUGGAAGGCAGUUCUAGUUUGAACUUUGAUGCUUGGUCAACUGUUUUCCUUAAUCUGUUAUUUUGUUUGGUGCUUUGUCAAUUUUUCUGGUUUGAUGCAUGGUUAACUUUUCUAUGUUUAAUCGGUUUGUUUACUUAGCUACAUGUGUAUAUCAAUUUCAGCCUUUGUCGUGGGUCAUUUACGUGGACCAAUCUCUGAUGUUUGCAUUUAUGGUGUUUAUGAAGGGUGGCAUGUAUCCUGUCAUUUAUCUUCUAGCUUAGCCUUCUCUUUACUUACUUAUGCUCUUCAAUUUCCAGAUGUCUCAUCUUUGGGUUGUUCUAUCAGUUUCCAGGGGAAAGCCAUUCUUUGUUCAAACUGUGUGUCAGAGAGAGUAUAGCAUAUGGAGUAUUAUUUUCUACUACUUUUUUUCUUCUUUAUAGACUUUCCUCGUGUUUGUUGAUACUCUUUAAUUUCCAGUAUCCGAGUGUUGGGUGUUUUAUUAUUAUCCAUCAACGGAAGGCAGUUUUUGUCAGAAGGCAGUUCUUGCUUGAUGCUUUACUCUGUUUUGUAAAUUUUUUGUUUGCUACGUAGAUGUGUAUAAUAAUGUUUUUUUCCUCACCCAGUGAUGUGAUAGGACAAAAUAAUUGCUUCCAUCAUAGUAAGAGCUUAAUUGGGACUGUAUGGAGGGUAGCAGAGAGAGUACAGUAUUUUUCUGUCAUUUAUCUUCUAGCUGGACUUUCCCUUUACCUACUGUAAUGCUCUUCAAGGGAAGGCAGCUCAGGGCUUUUACAGUGCGACAGAGGGAGUUUAAUGCACCAUUUACUUGUUACUACAUUUUAUCUUCUACCUAGACGUUCCUAUGCUUAUUGUUACACACUUUAAUUUUCAGUGUCUUGUGAGGGCGAUUUGCAACCAGACUUCCAUGGAAGGCUGUUCUGCUUGGAACUUUUCCGUUUGUUUUUGUUUCUUAUUGAUCUGGAUAUUGUUUUUGCCUUCACCCAUGUGACAGGAGUUCUAUCUAAGUUGGAGCGUAAGAUGAGGCUACUUGGGCUGGUUGUUGAACUUGGACCAAUCUCUGAUGGAGUAUAGUAUUUUACACCAAUCUCUGAUUAAGCUCUGGUCAUUGGAUAAUUUUUAAUCAACCUUCACCAAGAGGCAGUUUGGUCAGAAUUUUGCUCUGUUUCAUCAGUAUUUUGUUUGUGACAUAGAUGUGGAUAUUGUUUUCGGCCUCACCCUGUGACAGGAGAUACAAAAUAAGUUAUGUAUCUAUCAGAGUAGGAGCUGAAUGACGGGCUAUCUUCGUCUGCUUGUUGGGCAUGGGCCAAUAUUCAGUGUUCACGGAGGGUGGUAGAGGGAGUAUAGUGCUUUUGUAUUAUAAUUCAUCUUUUAGCUGGAUUUUCCCCUUUCUAAGUGCUGUGCUGUUUACAUCUCCAGAUGCCUUUUUCUUACUUCGGUCAAUAUGCUCUCAAGGAAAGGCGGAUUGGUGUUCUACAAUGUGAUAGAGGGAGUGCAUUAUAAUAUUUUUCUGUGCUUAUGGUUUUACAGUCAUUUCUACAGUAAUGUAUCUUCUACCUGGACUCAUCUUUUGCUUGUUAUUAUGCUCUUUGAUUUCCAGAUGUCUGAUCUCCACAUGGUUCUAUAGGAAAGUCGGUUCUGGUUUAUUCUGUUUGAUAGAGAGAGUAUGGUAUCUUAAAGAUGUAAUCUUUUACGUAGAUGUUCAUGUGCUUAUCAUUAUAUUCUUCGAAUUCGAGUGUCUUAUUGUUCGCUGGUUCUUGACCAUCCUUCAGUGGAAGCCAGUUCUGGUUUGAUGAUUGGUUAUUUAUACUCAAUUUCAUCAGUUGUUUUUUUGGUUUAAUUGGAUAUUGUGUUAGGCCUCAACCUGUGACAGGAUUUACAAAACAAAUUUUGGUUCUGUUAAAGGUGGAGCUUAAGAUGAGGCUCUCUUGGUCUGGCUGUUGGACACGAAUCAAUCUUCGGUGCUGGAGUUGACAGUGUGGGGGCAGAGGGAGUAUAGUACUUUUCUAGGUUGUCUUCUUCUUACUUGACAUUCUCUUUGCUUUGUUUUGCACUUUUCAAUUUCCAGAUGCCAAAUAUUUGGGUUCUUCAGUUUCCAAGAGAAGGCAGUUCUGGGCUUUUACAGUGGCAGAAGGAUUAUAAUAUGAUAUCUUACAUUACAUGUGCUUAUCAUUAUACUCUUCAAUUUCUUGUCUGAGCAAUGGCUGGUUCUUAAUCAACCUUCAGUGGGAGCCUGUUCCGGUUUGAUUCUUGGUUAUCUUUAUUCUGCUUCUUCAGUUCCUUUGUUACAUGUUUAUUUUGUUUGCCCCAGCCCUACAACAGUAGAUACGAUCACACAAAAGAAAUUUGAUUAUGUUAAACAUGGAGAUUGAGGUGGGCUAUCUUUGUCUGGUUGUUGGACAGGGACCAAUCUUUGAGACUGGCGUCACUUAUUUCACUUGGGAGCUUGGGGUGAGAUAUCUCACCUAUUUACCUCGAUUCAAGCUUCCUUGUUGUAACGUGAUCCUUUUUCUUCGGCUUAUGUGUUCAAAGCUCACAAGAAACCAUUUGACUAACUAGCAUCGUCACAUUAAUUGUUCAAUUUUCCUUAUAUAGCAUCGACACAUUAAUUGUUCAAUUUUCCUUAUAUAGCAUCGACACAUUAAUUGUUCAAUUUUCCUUGCAUGACUGCAGUUAUUUCAUAUUAGAAAAGUGCAGUCUUGCAUGGAGGAGGUAGAUAUGGGUCUGGUCUGGUCUGGUCUGGUCUGGUCUGGUCUGGUCAGGUCAGGUCAGGUCAGGUCAGGUCAGGUCAGGUCUUGAAUCUUGGUUAUAGGUGAAAUGCACAACUAGUUGGUCUACUGAAUCUAUAUGAACUUCUUAGUCCAUUGAAUCUAUACGUGUGCAUUACGUAAUAUUUGUGGAUAGGUAGGGUCGUGUAACUCUGCCGGUGUUCUGGGUUCCCUGGCACAGUCGGUCCCAAGUCCGGGAAAAGAGGAGGGGCGACAAAAUAAUGUAGUAAGGUGGCCUUUAUGAGUUCUUUUUCUGAUGAUGAUUUUCUCUUCCAGACAUUUACUAAAUUCUCGUACUCCAUGUACUACUACUAUUGCAUUACGGAAGCUAUUUUCAUUGAGUGACGCUAAAUGGCCAUAUUAUCAAUAAUAGGAUUUUUUUAAUUUAAAA